ACACCAUAAUAUGGAUUGGGUGCUCACACUGUGAGCUGAAAAGGGAAUCUGGUUUAAUUCCAGAACUGUCCUCGCAACUGUAAGUGUGUACGAAAAGGGAAUCCACUGUAUGUAAUCAUAUGGGAAGGCCCCUUAGUAGGAAGAUACACAAGUCAGUAGACCUGCCUAAUUCAAGUGUUUCAA
rnacentral:ncRNA from 2 species